AGUGAACGCUGGCGGUAGGCCUAACACAUGCAAGUCGAACGGCAGCGCAGUAAGAGCUUGCUCUUACGGGUGGCGAGUGGCGUACGGAUGAGGAAUACAUCGGGAUCUACUUUUUCGUGUGGGAUAACGUAGGGAAACUUACUCUAAUACCGCAUACGAUGUACGGUGGUAAGCGUUGGAUCGUCUGACCUGGCGCGAUUGAAUGAGCCGCUGUCGGAUUAGCUAGUGGGGGGGGUAAAGGCCCACCAAGGCGACGAUCCGCAGCUUGUCUGAGAGGCUGAUCAGCCACACUAGAACUGGGACACGGACAAGGCUACUAAGGGAGGCAGCAGUGUGGAAUAGUGGGCAAUAGGCGCAAGCCUGAUCCAGUCAUCCCGCGUGUGUUAAGACGGCCCUCGGGUUGUAAAGACGUUCUGUUGGGAAAGAACAGCAGCCGGUUAAUACGCCGCUGUUCUGACGGUACCCAAAGAAUAAGCACCGGCUAACUUCGUG
rnacentral:rRNA from 1 species